CUUUGAAUAGCAAAUCAUUUGACUGCUGAGGUAGAAUCCUUUGUUCAGAGUCACAAUAAGCAAUUGCAUUUACAAAGAGUAAUGUCUUAUUUUUUCAAGAUUCUCUGGAAGCUGUGCAGCAGCUUGUCUAUAAUAACUGAGCUCACAAUUUUUUCUAAUAUUAGGACAGACUGUCCUUUAGCAAGCAAAGAAAUAAAACAAAAAGCAAAAGGAUACUUUAUCAUUUCUUAUUGCUUUAAAAUCCAAAGGCAAAUUAUGUGUCUUUGUACUUCAGACUUGCAGUUCUACUUGAACUUGAAAAAAUGCCCAAUAAUUUUAGAGAGAAACUGCAAAUAUGAGAAAAGAACUUAACAAGUAGAGAAUGGAAGAUUGGCUCUGUAAAGUGCCCAGGUGGCACUUGGGAUGGGAAGGCAGGAAGGCACUGCAGGGAGGCUGGAUGAAACCGUCUGGAAAGUGAGGGGUCUGGAAAGAACGCAUUCAGCCUAUUAUAUUUUGCAGUUCCUAGUGUGUAGGUUUUUCAAAUUGAGUGAUACCACUGUGCUUUGUGGGCAAUUUCUUCAGUCAUUUCAUCCUCUGAGCUUUGUCGGUCACCAAUGGCUGUGGCAAUGACACGCAGUAAUAUCCAAGCACUGACAGCUGAGCUUUGCUGACACCCCCCUCCUGCUCUGCUGGUGACAGUUCACUGUGCAGCUGAAGCAGCAGAAGGAAGGACAGGCACAAUUCACCUGCAUCAGAAAACAGGUUUGCUUUUGCCAUGAGCAGAGAAGCUCAUGCACAACUGAAGGUGGAACAUGGAGUGCAGAAGAGGUAAUAAAACCUUCACUUCCACUCACUUCAGCCCAAUCUCUUCUUGAGCUCAGAGGUUUUGGCUAGGACUUCCAGGACGUAAGCAUCCCCCUCGGUAUGAGGUGCCAAAGGUAGCUUGCUUGGGUGCCACACUGACAGCAGUGGGUACCAAGGUGUGAACAGAUGGCUGGCACCUCAGACAGCAGUGAUCGUGGGCCUGCUGCUGGUUGUACCUCAGGACAGAGCUUGGCUACCCUAACAUCAGGCCAGCUCCAACGAAAUUCCAUGUCUUUCCCCACCACCCCUUUCCCAUCCCGUAUUCAUGCAUCAAGCCCAGUCCUCACCCCUGCAUGCCUGCAGCUUAGGUGUCCAGAGCAAAAAGCACAGCUGCCGCCUUGGCAGCAUCCCUGCAGACUUUGGGCCUACCCAAGCCAGGACACCCUUGCACCUGAGGGCUUGCUGGGCAAGCAGUGCAAGGCCCCAGCCCCUCCAGGGCUGACAGGACACCCAGCCAGAUGCUGGCUGACUGCCCAGGGACACUGGGAGGAGAGCAGAGCCAGCCCAUGUCCAGCUGCUCACCAUCUCUUGGCCUCAGCAGUGGUACACAAGGUAAGGAAUAAUUCAAGCUUCUUAGAGAAGACAAUCCCACCCACUGAAGUCUGAUAAGACUUUUUACACUACGUACCUGAAGACUAAUCAGUUCACAAGGAACUCUUUUGACUUCAAGUUGUUUAUCACAAUCUCAUGAAGCAUAUUCUAGGCAGCCAAGGAGUCCCAACACAUCUGAGAACUCUGAAAAUUAAAAAAGAUUAAUGUGAAACAGAACUAGAUAACAUGAUCAUCAGAUGCUUGUUCAAAUCCUACAAGCUUCUUUGAAUGCAAUAAAGUCAAUUCACUUUCUGAAGUUCA
ensembl:lncRNA